rnacentral:rRNA from 1 species
UACGAAGGGGGCUAGCGUUGUUCGGAAUUACUGGGCGUAAAGGGCGCGUAGGCGGAUGGCACAGUCAGAUGUGAAAUCCCCGGGCUUAACCUGGGAACUGCAUUUGUGACUGGCAAGCUAGAGUAUGGCAGAGGGGGGUAGAAUUCCACGUGUAGCAGUGAAAUGCGUAGAGAUGUGGAGGAAUACCGGAUGGCGAAGGCAGCCCCCUGGGCCAAUCUGACGCUCAUGCACGAAAGCGUGGGGAGCAAACGAGG